rnacentral:rRNA from 1 species
UACGGAGGGUGCAAGCGUUGCUCGGAAUUAUUGGGCGUAAAGGGUAGGUAGGUGGUCUCAUUUGUCUGGGGUGAAAGCCUUGAGCUUAACUCAAGAAGUGCCCCCAGAAACGGUGAGACUAGAGUCUUGGAGAGGGUCGUGGAAUUCCCGGUGUAGCGGUGAAAUGCGUAGAGAUCGGGAGGAACACCAGAGGCGAAAGCGGCGACCUGGACAAGCACUGACACUCAACUACGAAAGCGUGGGGAGCAAACAGG